AGAGUUUGAUCCUGGCUCAGGAUGAACGCUAGCUACAGGCUUAACACAUGCAAGUCGAGGGGAAACGACAUCGAAAGCUUGCUUUUGAUGGGCGUCGACCGGCGCACGGGUGAGUAACGCGUAUCCAACCUGCCCACCACUUGGGGAUAACCUUGCGAAAGUAAGACUAAUACCCAAUGACGUCUCUAGAAGACAUCUGAAAGAGAUUAAAGAUUUAUCGGUGAUGGAUGGGGAUGCGUCUGAUUAGCUUGUUGGCGGGGUAACGGCCCACCAAGGCGACGAUCAGUAGGGGUUCUGAGAGGAAGGUCCCCCACAUUGGAACUGAGACACGGUCCAAACUCCUACGGGAGGCAGCAGUGAGGAAUAUUGGUCAAUGGACGAGAGUCUGAACCAGCCAAGUAGCGUGCAGGAUGACGGCCCUAUGGGUUGUAAACUGCUUUUAUAAGGGAAUAAAGUGAGAGUCGUGACUCUUUUUGCAUGUACCUUAUGAAUAAGGACCGGCUAAUUCCGUGCCAGCAGCCGCGGUAAUACGGAAGGUCCGGGCGUUAUCCGGAUUUAUUGGGUUUAAAGGGAGCGUAGGCCGGAGAUUAAGCGUGUUGUGAAAUGUAGACGCUCAACGUCUGCACUGCAGCGCGAACUGGUUUCCUUGAGUACGCACAAAGUGGGCGGAAUUCGUGGUGUAGCGGUGAAAUGCUUAGAUAUCACGAAGAACUCCGAUUGCGAAGGCAGCUCACUGGAGCGCAACUGACGCUGAAGCUCGAAAGUGCGGGUAUCGAACAGGAUUAGAUACCCUGGUAGUCCGCACGGUAAACGAUGGAUGCCCGCUGUUGGUCUGAAUAGGUCAGCGGCCAAGCGAAAGCAUUAAGCAUCCCACCUGGGGAGUACGCCGGCAACGGUGAAACUCAAAGGAAUUGACGGGGGCCCGCACAAGCGGAGGAACAUGU
rnacentral:rRNA from 1 species